UUCCAUAAAGGGAGGCAUGGAUUUCUAUCUUCAUACUGGUGAUGAAAAAACUCCCAACACACCAUGUAGCUUCCUAUGUUCAAUCAAAGAGUGAAAGAUGGAAAUUCAGUCCAGCAUCCUUCCCAUUUCUGGCUGCAAUAUUCAAUAUAUGCGUGUGGUGAUGAAUUCUGUGAGGAACCACAUUCCCUCCCUUUCUAUAUCCAUCACAAUCAGUGAGGACUUGGCUCCAAAUGGAGGAGAGCAGAUAAAUGUAUCUGAUAAAAGACAGCAAUGCUUCACAUCAGGUGUGUCAGUUUCUUGGCUACAUGGAACACAAUGAAUAAGAAAUGGAAGAGCAAGACCUUGGAGGAUCCAGUUACAAAGUAAGAAAUAAAAAAAU